rnacentral:rRNA from 1 species
UACAGAGGUCUCAAGCGUUGUUCGGAUUCAUUGGGCGUAAAGGGUGCGUAGGCGGUGCAGAAAGUCGGGUGUGAAAUCCCCCAGCUCAACUGGGGAACUGCGCCCGAAACUGCUGUGCUAGAGGAAGAUAGAGGUACGCGGAACUUAGGGUGGAGCGGUGAAAUGCGUUGAUAUCCUAAGGAACACCGGUGGCGAAAGCGGCGUACUGGGUCUUUUCUGACGCUGAGGCACGAAAGCUAGGGUAGCGAACGGG